rnacentral:rRNA from 1 species
UUCACGCGGCAGGCCGCCACCGUGAAGAUGGAAGGCUGCCAAACGCCCGAGUACAUGCUCGGGAACUCGAGCUGCGCGGCGACCC